UACGUAGGGGGCUAGCGUUGUCCGGAUUUAUUGGGCGUAAAGAGCGUGUAGGCGGCCAUGUAGGUCCGGUGUGAAACUCGAGGCUUAACCUCGAGAUGUCAUCGGAAACCAUUUGGCUAGAGUCCGGAAGAGGAGAGUGGAAUUCCUGGUGUAGCGGUGAAAUGACGUAGAUAUCAGGAGGAACACCGGUGGUGUAGACGGCUUUCUGGACCGUAACUGACGCUGAGAACACGGAAAGCGUGGGUAGCAAACAGG
rnacentral:rRNA from 1 species